rnacentral:ncRNA from 1 species
GUCACAAUGUUAAAAUUUAAACCUUAGGGUCCUAAAAAAAUUGAGUGUUUUUUUUUUUUCAAAAAACAGUUGUUUUGAAAGUUUUGUUCGGAACCUCAUCAUAGAUUUUAAAAACCAGUUAUGAGGAAAUAUAGGCCAGACCUCCCCAAGUAUGAUGCAAUAUAGCCCAAAUGCCUGAAUAUUUUGUGCAUGGAAUAAUGAAAUAAGACCUCUGUUCCUACUUUCAUUGGUUUUUAGAUCAAGAGGUAAUGAUUAAUAGAAGCAGUUUGGGGGCAUUAGUAUUACGACGCGAGAGGUGAAAUUUUUGGUCCGUCGUAAGACUAACUUAAGCGAAAGCAUUUGCCAAAGAUGUUUUCAUUAAUCAAGAACGAAAGUUAGAGGUUCGAAGGCGAUCAGAUACCGCCCUAGUUCUAACCAUAAACGAUGCCAACUAGCAAUUGGGUAGAUACUAUCAUGGCUCUCUCAGUCGCUUCCCGGGAAACCAAAGCUUUUGGGCUC